rnacentral:rRNA from 1 species
CAACAGCGUAUAUUAAAGUUGUUGCAGUUAAAACGCUCGUAGUCGGAUUUCGGGGCGGGCGGGCCGGUCUGCCGAUGGGUAUGCACUGGUCUGGCCAUCCUUCCUUCCGGAGACCGUGCGUGCUCUUAACUGAGUGCGCUCGGGAGACGGAUCGUUUACUUUGAAAAAAUCAGAGUGUUUCAAGCAGGCAGCUCGCUCUUGCAUGGAUUAGCAUGGGAUAAUGAAAUAGGACUUUGGUGCUAUUUUGUUGGUUUCGAACACCGAAGUAAUGAUUAACAGGGACAGUCAGGGGCACUCGUAUUCCGCCGAGAGAGGUGAAAUUCUCAGACCAGCGGAAGACGAACCACUGCGAAAGCAUUUGCCAGGGAUGUUUUCACUGA